CUUGGUCAUUUAGAGGAAGUAAAAGUCGUAACAAGGUUUCCGUAGGUGAACCUGCGGAAGGAUCAUUAUCGUGGGGCUUCGGCCCUCUCGAGAUAGAACCCUUGCCUUUUUGAGUACCUUCGUUUCCUCGGCAGGCUCGCCUGCCAAUGGGGACCCCAAUAAACCCUUUGUAAUACCUGUAAUCGUCUGACAAAACAAACAAAAAUUAAAACUUUCAACAACGGAUCUCUUGGUUCUGGCAUCGAUGAAGAACGCAGCGAAAUGCGAUAAGUAAUGUGAAUUGCAGAAUUCAGUGAAUCAUCGAAUCUUUGAACGCACAUUGCGCCCCUUGGUAUUCCGAGGGGCAUGCCUAUUCGAGCGUCAUUAUCACCCCUCAAGCCUAGCUUGGUGUUGAGGCCUGCUGUCAAGGCAGCCUCUAAAAUCAGUGGCAGUGCUGUCAGGCUCUAAGCGUAGUAAAUCUAAUCGCUAUAGACACCUGGUGGACACUCGCCAGAACCCCCCCAUUUUUUAAUGAUUGACCUCGGAUUAGGUAGGGAUACCCGCUGAACUUAAGCAUAUCAAUAAGCGGAGGAAAAGAAACCAACAGGGAUUGCCUCAGUAACGGCGAGUGAAGCGGCAAAAGCUCAAAUUUGAAAUCUGGCUCUUUUAGGGUCCGAGUUGUAAUUUGUAGAAGAUGUUUCGGGUGUGGCUCCGGUUUAAGUUCUUUGGAAUAUUACAUCAUAGAGGGUGAGAAUCCCGUAUGUGACCGGCAGCCUUCGCCUAUGUGAAACUCUUUCGACGAGUCGAGUUGUUUGGGAAU
rnacentral:sRNA from 1 species